AUUCUCGUGGGGCAGAGAUUGCACUGUGAAACCCUACCGACACUACCCCGGAAGGGCCUGGCCUCCGAGGUGUCUGCAGCGUGCUGCCUUCGCCGGGGCUUUUCAGAAUGGGCCGGGGCCUCGGGGGUCUUCAUCCCCAAGGAAGCCUCUUGAUUUUUGGCACCGCCUUUGUUUUUGGGCCGGAAGCCGUUGUGCGGCUGUCUUCUGUGUUCGUGGCGGCUGUUGCCCUUUCCCAGUGGCUCGGCUUCAUUCCCACUGCCCUGCGACUUGGCAGGCCCAUUUAGCCUGUUGUUAUGAUACUGUGGAUUAAAUCUCCGUCUUUGGUUAGAAGAUCCAUUCUACCAAAAAAGAAAAGAGAUAAGUAUCAGAUGCCAGCAAGCCACUGAUGACACCAGUAGACAUCAGGAAAACCAAAUCUCUAAGCCACAGGUAAGCUUUUUUUUUUUUUUUUUUUUUUUAUACACCAGAAGAAUCAGAAAACAUGAAGAUGAGGUCAGGCAGAUAAAAUUAUUAAUCCUAAAAGAAUAGUGGACUGUUUUGUAAAUGGAACUGGAAGAAAAUGAUAUUGAAAGAGAGGUUACAGAAGUGUAAGACAGACAAUUCAAAAACUGGGUCAAAUAAAAUUCAUAAAGAUGCUUAAACUAUAGCAGAAUAAAACAGAAGCCAGGGGCAGAGUAAUGAUGAUCCUCUACUAUGGAGAUUUCUGAGACAUUCUGUAGAGACU
rnacentral:lncRNA from 1 species